GCUUAGGAAGGUAGAAUUCCCGGUGUAGCGGUGAAAUGCGUAGAGAUCGGGAGGAAUACCAGUGGCGAAGGCGGCCUUCUGGACUGACACUGACGCUGAGGUGCGAAAGCGUGGGUAGCAAACAGGAUUAGAUACCCUGGUAGUCCACGCCGUAAACGAUGUCGACUAGCCGUUGGGUCCCUUGAGGACUUAGUGGCGCAGUUAACGCGAUAAGUCGACCGCCUGGGGAGUACGGCCGCAAGGUUAAAACUCAAAUGAAUUGACGGGGGCCCGCACAAGCGGUGGAGCAUGUGGUUUAAUUCGAUGCAACGCGAAGAACCUUACCUACCCUUGACAUCCUGCGAACCCGGAAGAGAUUCCGGGGUGCCUUCGGGAACGCAGAGACAGGUGCUGCAUGGCUGUCGUCAGCUCGUGUUGUGAAAUGUUGGGUUAAGUCCCGUAACGAGCGCAACCCUUGUCCCUAUUUGCCAGCGAUUCGGUCGGGAACUCUAGGGAGACUGCCGGUGACAAACCGGAGGAAGGUGGGGACGACGUCAAGUCAUCAUGGCCCUUACGGGUAGGGCUACACACGUGCUACAAUGGUCGGUACAAAGGGCAGCGAAAGCGCGAGCUGAAGCGAAUCCCGAAAAGCCGAUCUCAGUCCGGAUCGGAGUCUGCAACUCGACUCCGUGAAGUCGGAAUCGCUAGUAAUCGUGCAUCAGAAUGGCACGGUGAAUACGUUCCCGGGCCUUGUACACACCGCCCGUCACACCAUGGGAGUGGACUGCACCAGAAGUGGUUAGCCUAACUUCGGAGGGCGAUCACCACGGUGUGUUCAUGACUGGGGUGAAGUCGUACAAGGUA
rnacentral:rRNA from 1 species